GAGAUAGAGCUUCCCCUUCGGGGGCAAAGUGACAGGUGGUGCAUGGUUGUCGUCAGCUCGUGUCGUGAGAUGUUGGGUUAAGUCCCGCAACGAGCGCAACCCUUAUUGUUAGUUGCCAUCAUUUAGUUGGGCACUCUAGCGAGACUGCCGGUGACAAACCGGAGGAAGGUGGGGAUGACGUCAAAUCAUCAUGCCCCUUAUGACCUGGGCUACACACGUGCUACAAUGGGAAGUACAACGAGUUGCGAAGUCGCGAGGCUAAGCUAAUCUCUUAAAGCUUCUCUCAGUUCGGAUUGUAGGCUGCAACUCGCCUACAUGAAGCCGGAAUCGCUAGUAAUCGCGGAUCAGCACGCCGCGGUGAAUACGUUCCCGGGCCUUGUACACACCGCCCGUCACACCACGAGAGUUUGUAACACCCGAAGUCGGUGAGGUAACCUUUUUGGAGCCAGCCGCCUAAGGUGGGAUAGAUGAUUGGGGUGAAGUCGUAACAAGGUAGCCGUAUCGGAAGGUGCGGCUGGAUCACCUCCUUUCUAAGGAA
rnacentral:rRNA from 1 species